AUGGGGUUGCAGAGAAAACGUGGAUUGGGACCAGCAAGAAGUUAUCGUCCUGGAAUAGAGAGCCACAAUGCACAUUUGACAACAGCAAGAAAACUUCCCAGAUGCUCUGGAAGAACAGUGGCCAAGCAAAAUUCUCCCGGAGGGCAGAGUCUGCGACAGCAUUUCUGGCUGGCCAGGAGUCCACGCCUUCCGCGUGUCGGGAUCUCCACUGGGCGUCUGGAGCUCUUCGCUGGAGAGUCGGCCUCUGCCCUAGUGCCGAGUGAGCUGGAGAAAACAGGAGUGGGAGCACAGGCUGAGGACACACAGGUCACGGCUGUCGCACUGAAGGCAUGGAGCUGA
rnacentral:lncRNA from 1 species